GAUGAACGCUAGCGGCAGGCCUAACACAUGCAAGCCGAGGGGUAGAAUUAGCUUGCUAAUUUGAGACCGGCGCACGGGUGCGUAACGCGUAUGCAAUCUGCCUUGUACUGAGGGAUAGCCCAGAGAAAUUUGGAUUAAUACCUCAUAGUGUUAUUGAAUGGCAUCAUUUAAUAACUAAAGUUCCAACGGUACAAGAUGAGCAUGCGUCCCAUUAGUUAGUUGGUAAGGUAACGGCUUACCAAGACGAUGAUGGGUAGGGGUCCUGAGAGGGAGAUCCCCCACACUGGUACUGAGACACGGACCAGACUCCUACGGGAGGCAGCAGUGAGGAAUAUUGGUCAAUGGGCGCAGGCCUGAACCAGCCAUGCCGCGUGCAGGAUGACGGUCCUAUGGAUUGUAAACUGCUUUUAUACGGGAAGAAACACUCCUACGUGUAGGAACCUGACGGUACCGUAAGAAUAAGGAUCGGCUAACUCCGUGCCAGCAGCCGCCGUAAAAC
rnacentral:rRNA from 1 species